rnacentral:tRNA from 1 species
GGGAAUGUGGCUUAGUGGUAGAGUGCUUGUCUAGCAUGCAUGAAACCCUGGGUUCGAUUCCUUAGUACCA